CUACGGGAGGCAGCAGUGAGGAAUAUUGCACAAUGGGGGGAACCCUGAUGCAGCAACGCCGCGUGGAGGAUGACGCAUUUCGGUGUGUAAACUCCUUUUAUAUGUCAAGAAAAUGACGGUAGCAUAUGAAUAAGCGCCGGCUAACUCCGUGCCAGCAGCCGCGGUAAUACGGAGGGCGCAAGCGUUACUCGGAAUCACUGGGCGUAAAGGACGCGUAGGCGGGUUGAAAAGUCAGGUGUGAAAGCCUACAGCUUAACUGUAGAACUGCACUUGAAACUCUCAAUCUAGAGUAUGGGAGGGGCAGAUGGAAUUAGUGGUGUAGGGGUAAAAUCCGUAGAUAUCACUAGGAAUACCUAAAGCGAAGGCGAUCUGCUGGAACAUUACUGACGCUAAGGCGUGAAAGCGUGGGGAGCAAACAGGAUUAGAUACCCGAGUAGUC
rnacentral:rRNA from 1 species